UGUAACUUUUUAAAAUUUUAAACUUUUUAGACUUUUUAAUUAGCUUUCAAAAAGUCUUCCCUUAACUCAAGUUGAUUUAACUUUUUAACUUGUAACAUUUUUAACUUUUUAAACUUUUAACUUAAAAUGCUCACUUUCUAAAUUUUUAACUCUUGUAACAUUUUUAACUUUUUAAACUUUUAACUUAAAAUGCUCACUUUCUAAAUUUUUAACUCUUGUAACAUUUUUAACUUUUUAAACUUUUAACUUAAAAUGUUUCACUUUCCAAAUUUUUAACUUUUGAAACUUUUACAUUUUUUAAACUAUCUUAGACGAGUUAAGGGGAGACUUUUUAACGUUUUACAUGUUUUUAUUUCUGAUUUUAGUUAUAGAAAGGCCUUUUAAACUUUUUUUUUUGAAUUGUUUUUCACAUUAAUUACUUCAUUUUUUUAUGUAUUAUAUUUUUUCUACGUCAUAAUCGUGAGGCGACAACAGAAAACAGACGAGUUCAUUUUAUGUGGCGAAAGCAGCUCAUCCACAGUCCACUGACCAAAGACAUCCUCUCUUCGGCCAUGUACCAGCCAAAUGCCGCCUUAAGUCCAGGAAAAGUUUUCUGAAAAGUGUCCCACCCCUCAGAACGCCGAACACAGGCAGUGAAAGAGUCACUCGGCGGGAAGAAAGACUUGACAAUCUUCCACCAGAAACUACAAUGGAGCUUAAAGCAAGCGAGGCAAUGACCCCAGGAGCAGACACCAACUAUGUAUGCAACGUGGAAAUGCCUAAAUAGACUAAGAUCUGGUGUUGGACGUGCAAAAGUCACUCUCGCCAAAUGGGGACAUCUGGAGGAUCGGAACAGCGAGUGUGACUGUGGCACUGAACCACAGACCAUGCAACACCUCCUCAUGUGCCCCUGCUGGAACAUCCCUGCACAGCAUCGAAUUUAGCAGAGUUUAACGAGAAGGGACAGAAAUGUGUUCAGCUGUGGCUCAACCACAUCUAGCCAAGCCUGUAACUAACUGCCUUGUAGCCACGAUAAGAAGAAGCUCAUCCCAGAAUCGAGGCCAGAGGUAGCCAUGACAUAUUACUUUAUUGUAAUAGGGCAACAGUUUCAAGAACACCUGUACAAGGGAGGCCUGCAUCAUGGAACACAAACUCCCAAACACACAUGACUUCUCCUGCUUCUUCUCACAGCGAGAGCCACGCAUUUCAAGAAGACUUGUACAAGGGAGGCCUGCAUCAUGGAACACAAACUCCCAAACACACAUGACUUCUCCUGAUUCUUCUCACAGCGAGAGCCACGCAUUUCAAGAAGACUUGUACAAGGGAGGCCUGCAUCAUGGAACACAAACUCCCAAACACACAUGACUUCUCCUGCUUCAUCUUAUGUUCCUGGGUCUUGCCUGUGGUUCUACAUGCAUCCAGUCAUGCAGACAGAGAACACUUUAGCCUUUAACUGUCGGAAGCUGUCCCUCUGCGAGGCCUCAUAGUAUAGUCUGUUUUCUGUUCUCAUUCAUUCAUUCAUUCAUUCAUUCAUUUAUUUAUUUAUUUAUUUAUUUAUUUAUUUAUUUAUUUAUUUAUUUAUUUAUUUAUUUAUUGAUUGAUUGAUUGAU